rnacentral:sRNA from 1 species
UAUAUUCUCCGCAAGGGGGGGAUGAGAACCCCCGACCGGGGUUCGACAACUGACGCAGCCAGUUGGACAGACUGAGAGCGAAGCGAACAGGCUGCCCGCAGGGCGAGCGAAGCGAGUCAAUCCCCCCCUCACCGCCA